AAAAUAUGUUGCAUUUAUACACAAUAUUUUUGGAACUGUUUCCUCCGAUGGUAAUGCCAUGAUAUGGUUAAAAUUAACGUCAAAUACUAUUACGAUAAUCAACAACACACGUUGCUAGGUUAUGGUAUCGUAUAUAUUUUGCUUACUAAAAAAAAAAAAAAAAAAAAAAAAAAAAAAAAAAAAAAAAAAAAACCACGAAGAUAAGAUGUAUCGCACGUGAACGAGAUCUAUGCCCUGUUGAUCGACUAGAAAUGGAAUUUUAUUUCGAUGGUAUAAAAUCCCUGUUGUCUAAUAAUUUACGAUUAGAAAUGUUCGUGAUCAUGUUUAUUACAGGUAUCGCGUUUAAUACACGAUGAGAGAAUAUCCUCGAAAGCGAUGAAAAUGAUGAAAGUGUAAGAUGGCAGUACGAUAUUAUAUUUAACAUGAAUCGAAGACUUUUGUGCUUUAAAAAAGAACUUAUAUUAUUCAAAAAAG